rnacentral:rRNA from 1 species
UUUCGCAAUGCCCGAAAGGGUGACGAAGCGACGCCGCGUGUGGGAAGAAGGCCUUCGGGUUGUAAACCACUGUCGGGAGUUAGGAAAUGCAAGAGCGUUAAUAGCGAACUUGCUUGACUAAGGCUCCAGAGGAAGCCACGGCUAACUCUGUGCCAGCAGCCGCGGUAAUACAGAGGCGGCAAGCGUUGUUCGGAAUUAUUGGGCGUAAAGAGCACGUAGGCGGCUAUGUAAGUCGGUUGUGAAAGCCUUCCGCUUAACGGGAGAACGGCAUCUGAUACUACAGGGCUUGAGUACGGGAGGGGAGAGUGGAACUUCUGGUGGAGCGGUGAAAUGCGUAGAUAUCAGAAGGAACGCCGGCGGCGAAAGCGACUCUCUGGCCCGAAACUGACGCUGAGUGUGCGAAAGCUAGGGGAGCAAACGGGAUUAGAUACCCCGGUAGUCCUAGCCGUAAACGAUGGGCACUAAGUAGAGGGGUUUUA